rnacentral:rRNA from 1 species
CCCUUAGACGUUCUGGGCCGCACGCGCGCUACACUGACCAGUGCAACAAGCAUCCGUCCUUGGCCGACAGGCCCGGGCAAUCUUUGAACGCUGGUCGUGAUGGGGAUAGACUUUUGCAAUUUUUGGUCUUCAACGAGGAAUUCCUAGUAAACGCAAGUCAUCAACUUGCAUUGAUUACGUCCCUGCCCUUUGUACACACCGCCCGUCGCACCUACCGAUUGAAUGGUCCGGUGAAGCCUCCGGAUUGGCGCGCACCCCGGUGCCGCCGAGAAGUUGGCUAAACCUUACCAUUUAGAGGAAGGCGAAGUCGUAACA